rnacentral:lncRNA from 1 species
UGAGGGAAACAUGUUUUCUUCUCGAAGAUCCAAAUGAGGAGAACAAUCAUUACCAACAAACUAAACAAAAAUGUCAAAUCAAGAAAAACACGAUACUGAAGAAGAGCAUCCAAAACACAUUUUUUGUUCAACAUACACAUAACAGAUCAGUAUAAUUAUUCAAACCAUUAUUAGGAAAACUACUUUCACACUGGAAUAAUAUAAUAGCUAGAACUGCAGCAGGAUAUAUGAUAAGCAAAUCAUAUUUUCUUGGCAAUGAACAAGCCCCACUUCUGCUCCCCUCGUUCACCCCUGAUCUGCUUCGCCUUCCAUCUCUCCACAAUUUCAUCGUAGUCAUCCUGAAAACAAUUAAAGCUUUUAAAUUAAGGGAAACAGAUACCUAAAAUAAAGUAUUACAAAAGUCAUAUCAGAAACAUAAUGAGAAAACCACAUUGCUGAAAUCACUGAUGAAGUCGUCCUUCUGGCUCUCGAGAGUAAUUAGCUCCUGCUGCAGUGUUUUCACAAACUAAACACCACAAGUAACAAUUAAGUUAUUAGAACUUAAGAAGCACAACAAAAAUUGCAAAUACCAAGCAAACUAGACCAAAGGAUCAAACAAACCUGAUCAGUUCGAUCCUCAACAAUGACAUCAAAUCCAGCGUUCUCCAGCAUCUGCAGCAGAUUUAGAACACAAGGGGAUUGUCAUGCAAAAGAAAAAUAAACUCGAGUAGUGUCAACUGAAAUCAAAUGGGUGAAAGAGAAUAAGACGACAAACAGACCUGCUCGUAUUCUUUCAUGUCAUGGAUAUAAUAUCCUCCUUCCUUGAUGUAUUCAGCAAAUUCUGAAGAUGGACUUCCAGCACUUUUGCAGUAAUCAGUAAUUAGAAGUUGACCUCCAGGUUUCAACCACUUGAAAAAUGAUCUAAAUAAUGUUGGUUUGUCCUGGAACAAUCCAGAGUACAUUGCAGAAUACAAAGGUCAAGAUCUUCAAGAAUAUCAAAUAAAACAAUAACAAAAAUAUUAAAUGAAAUGAAUUACAAAAGUACAGACAUAAAAAUGUAUCCCUUUAGCCAACAAAAUGAUUGAUCAAAAUUAAAAUCCAGAAUUCUUCUUAAUGGAGAACCAAAGAGACCGAUAGUUUAAUUUGCUCGCAAGUGUAAGAACUGAAAAGGAAUAACAUUUACGGGUAAUAAGGUGGAUGGCCACUGCCGAAUCACUUUCAACCUAAAGUUUAGGUAUUCUUUUAUUCCAAGCAAUUGUUACAGAGGAAGGAAAUUUAAUUUGAUAAAACCAUCCUUCAUUCAUGCUUACAGUUACAUACACCUAGCGCUAAGAGGAUAAAGCUAUCUAUUGAUUGAAUAUUUCAAAGCUUAACAAGAUAAUUCCUUACUUUGAUGUAUAGCAUGGCAUCACGAGUGUAGAUUACAUCAUAGGUCUUCUCAGGAUAUGUUUUUUUGGAGCAAUCAGCACAAUCAAAUUCAACAGUGUAUUUCAGUCCGAUAGCACGUUCAAUAGCACGGGAAAUCACAUUUAUGGAGAGGUCUACGCCAACAACCUCAACAUCAAAAUUUUCAGCCAUGUAGAAAUCACCUCCGCCAACACCACAACCAACAUCCAGUACUUUCUGGCCAGGCUUUAGUUCCAGCUUAGCUACAAGUUCCUUUGUCGUUUCUGCCCAAGAAUUAAGCAAGUCAUAAGUUAGAAACAUAGACAAUAAGUUGAAACAAAAGAACUUAACCUUGAUCAGGAUGAUAGAUUCUUCAUGUGAAAAAAGAAAAGAAAUCCAAGUAUAGCAUCAUACAUUCACCAGCCUAAGAGCAACAUAUCAUAAUUAGAACUAUAUUAAGUGAUAAGCAACGGUGAAUCUUUGGCAUAAUUUCAGGAUACAAUACAAAUGUGGAUAUAUUUGUUUGUGCUAUUAGAAGCCAUGUUCUAAAGAAUUAUAUGACAAAUUUGUCAUGUUUUAUUCUUAUCUUCUUGGAAGAACAUUCAUUCUCAUGUUCAAUUCUUCAACAAUGAGUAUCAAAACCAGGCAUUUCAAAAGGUAAAUAUAUUGAACUUAUAUCAUAUCUCUCUCCUUAUCACACGCUUCUCCCUGAAAAAACACCAAUCAAUAUGUUUUAAAAUUUUAAGUAAACAUGCAGUUUCUAAUAGCUUGAAAAUUGGAAAGAUAUACUCCCUCCGGUCCUUAUUAUAAGUAACAAUUGACUUUUUUGAUUCAAUGUGUAAGUGAUGUAUCUAGUCUAUAUUUUCAAUAAGAUACAUUAAUUAUUCUAUGAACCUAAAAAGUCAACUUUUUCUUAUAUUAAGGACCGGAGGGAGUACAUUAUACGAUAAGAACAAUGAUACUUCUUCAAUACUAGCAGCCAGGUACAGUUACAUAAUAAUUCUCAAUUUUAGACAAGAUAUACAUUACACGAUAAUUAUACGAGGAAGAAUAAUCAAAUGCCAAAUUGAACACAUAAAUGUAUGUAUGUAUGUAGGCUAAAUACACCAAAAUAAAAUGUAAUGAUAAUAUAAUAAAGCUAGUCACCCCAGUCACCAAAGAAUGAAAGUUAGAAAAUAUUGGCCAACUAUUUCUUGUGCACAAGUCAAUUAUUUCAUGAAUCUAAAAUAAUACUGAACAGCUGCGACUGCUGUGUUUUUAGGUAAGGGAAUUGUCCUAACACCUUGUAAUCACUAGACCAGGUAAAUAACAACGGAACAUCACUUUUUCAGAAAGUCAAGGAAGAUCAUUCUACCAUGUUAAUUUGAAGCGGAGAAAGGAAAAUAUAAAGGCAUACCAAGUCCUCCGGUGCUUAUAAAGCCAUGGCCAUACACGCGCUCAUAUCGUAAAAUACUCUUCUCGCUGUAUUCAACUCUAUCUAAGAACUUCUGGAAUCCCCUAUCAUCAUGUGAUCUAACCUUUUGCCAUAUCCAGCAAAUCUGCACCAUGAAAAUAUUAUUGUACACAUGUAUACAUCAGUCAAUUGGAUAAGCUAAAUUCCCGAUAAUAAUUACACGAAAUGUAACCCUGUUUUUUUACCUGGUUUUGAUUCUUCUUAUUUCGAACAUAUGCUCCAAUGCAUUUACAGCCCACAAGAGAAAGUUCAAAGGAAUUCCCAGAGAUAUCACUCAUAUGGCAUUGUUUAAAUACCUGCAUGAACAAAGGAGAAGACGGAUCAAAGUUACCAACCCAACAGGGUAUUAUUUGCCUACAGAUCAAAGUUACCAAACCAAAAGGUAUUAUUUGCCUUACAAAAUAUAAUCCAAUGAGUGCUCAACAUUAACUCGCAUUAAUCACGCACUUCUAAUCUAAUGAAUACUCAACACUUCAAAUACAUUCUAAAUGAAAAAUUGAAUUUGAAAAAUUGAAUUUGAAAAAGUUUGAACAUGAGACACCGACCGUAAAAUUUGGAAAAGCAACCCAUGACCUAUAGCCCACCUUUACCAUCACAAAACACUCCCGUUAAUUAGAUUCGAACAUGUUUUGAAGCUGUUUUAUUUAAUCAAAAGGUUCUAUCUCCAUAAGAUAGAAAUCAUACACUAGAAUUAGCCCAAAGUUGAUGUCAAUCUUUUUUUAAUCAAACAAUAAUCUGGCAGAGACCAAGGGAUAGAGGUAACUACAAAGAACAAACCUUUGUGUAAAAUCUGGGUUCCCUGUAGUGAGUAGGAUUGUAAUUUCUCUUUGAAUCCCCAGAUUGGUGGAAACAGGAUUCUCGGAAGAAUAUAUAACCACCAUCUUUCAACCAUUUCAUCAUUCUUUUUGCUAAAUUCUCAACCUGAAGCGCCAAGGGAAAAACAAAAGGUUAGUGAUACGAAGCCAAAUAAGUCAUGUUUUGUUAAAUGAAAUAUUCUUUUUCCAAAUUAUAAGUGUAUAGUGUGGCGGAAUUUGGACAAACCACUAUUGUUCCGCAAUAUGCUAUUUAGUACAAAAUGUUGUCAAAUAGCUACUAUAACGGCACUAUAGCACUGUUGUGUAGUGGAAUUUUAACAAUCCACUACCCGUGUUUAACAACAUUGGGAAAUACUACGCAGUUCUCCCCAAUAAUUGAGAUUAAACAAAAUGUCUGAUGACACUGAAUAAUUAUUUGCAAUGGAAAUUAAAAUAUAUCCAUGCUUUGCUUAGUAACUUAACAUGUUCCUAAAUUCAGGGAUACCACAAAGCACUGAUAGAAGAUACGUAGAAAAAUGCCAAAGUUGAUUUUUUUAUUUACAGCAUGUUUACUGUCAAUUGGAACCAUGGGCCAUUACUCCACAGUUCAUACAAUCAUGCAUAAUGCUGACUUCAAAAUGUCUGAAUUGAAAAGAAAGAAAAAAAACUAUGAAAGUUUUGUAUGUGCGCUCUAAAAUAAACAAAACUGACCUCAUUAUCUGAAAGAUACAUCAGUAACCAAUUUGAGAAAAUCACAUCAACAGAUCCUUCAGAAACAUCCAUCUUUGGAGAGGUAACAUCAGCACACAAAAACUUGGCAUUUUUGUAGUGUCCGUUAAUGCUUUCAUUCUACAGAACGUUAUGAGUGGUUCAAGUUACUUCAUGAUAAGUGUGUUGUGUACGUGUGUGUGUGCGCGCGCACGUGCGUGUAUCAACAAUAACAAUUCUCAGAAUGGUAAGACAGUGCAAUUACCUUCUUUAUUGCACUCUCAAUGAAGUCCACAGCCAGCAAUUGACCAGCUUUCUGCGCCAAUUCUCCGGUAAAUCUUCCAAUACCGGCUCCAAGCUCAAUAACUGAUUUUCCUUCAUAUUCUGGUAGCAGGGAAAGUACCUAUGUAUAUAAAAAAAAAAAAAAAAAAAAAAAGAUGAAUACAAAAGCAAUGUCUGGCAAUAAAAAAAAUGAAAUGAAAAAGGUACGUAAUGACAUUGACAGGCAAUUUUAUGGAAAUAUGUGGGCGAAAUUUGAUGGCAUUAUUUCUUUUUCCUGAUGUCAUGCUCUUACUUGUGAUUUUGAUUAGACUAUGAAUUAGAUUGGUGCAUUAUUGGAUGAAAUUCCUUGUUGAUAUUGCAAAGCAUGUGAAAACUGGAAAAGACAGAGCACAAUACUACAAUAUGUGUGUGUGUGAAUGACACUGUUUGUAAAAUGGUAGAUCAUGGCUUGGUAUGAAAUAUCAGAUUAAUCAAAAAGUGUUUUAUACUUAAUUGAUUCAUAUACAUACAUCCACAAUCUUAGUGAAACAGAGAUCAACAUGAUAGAGUUAGAUUUAUCAAGAAAAAUGAUAUUCCAUAUAAAAUCAUUAUUAAUAUCCACAGGUGAAGAGACAGAGCUUAAGAUGCAAUUGGAUCUUAAUGUAGCUGAGAUUAGAUUUAGAUCUAUUAUUAAAUUAAAUUAAGAUUAUGAUUGGGAUGAAUUAAGAAAUGUGAAAGAUGACCUCAGGUCUUUCUUCCUUGUCGAGAUCAGAAGCUUUGGAAUCGAGCAUCAUAGCCUCGACAGAGAGAUCAGCACAAUGCUGAAUCCAGUAUGAUUUCUGAAUUUCACGUUCAUCAGUCGUCGUCAUACCUGCAAAAUUGAAAUGCGAAUCAUUAUUAUUACGACAUUAAGGAAGAAGAAGAGAGUGAGUGAGUGACAUUAUACCUGGUGGUGAAGCCAUGGAUUGGAUUGAUUAAGAAUGAAAUGUGAAUUGUUUGAUUAAGUGCCUUCGAUAGCGAGGCGAGACCUUGAGAAACUCCUGGAUCUACGGUUAGAAGCUCUUCCUCUCUGCUGCAUUAAUCGAUCUCUCUCUCUCUCUCUCUCUCUCUCUC